rnacentral:rRNA from 1 species
GACGAACCGUGCGAACGUUGUUCGGAAUCACUGGGCUUAAAGGGCGCGUAGGCGGGUGUGCAAGUCUGCGGUGAAAGCCUCCAGCUUAACUGGAGAAGUGCCGUGGAUACUGCAUAUCGUUGAGGAGGGUAGGGGCAUCUGGAACAUUGGGUGGAGCGGUGAAAUGCGUUGAUAUCCAAUGGAACUCCGGUGGCGAAGGCGGAUCUCUGGGCCUUACCUGACGCUGAGGCGCGAAAGCUAGGGGAGCGAACGGG